rnacentral:rRNA from 1 species
GAGGAAUAUUGGUCAAUGGACGGAAGUCUGAACCAGCCAAGUAGCGUGCAGGAUGACGGCCCUAUGGGUUGUAAACUGCUUUUGUAUGGGGAUAAAGUUAGGGACGUGUCCCUAUUUGCAGGUACCAUACGAAUAAGGACCGGCUAAUUCCGUGCCAGCAGCCGCGGUAAUACGGAAGGUCCAGGCGUUAUCCGGAUUUAUUGGGUUUAAAGGGAGCGUAGGCUGGAGAUUAAGUGCGUUGUGAAAUGUAGACGCUCAACGUCUGAAUUGCAGCGCAUACUGGUUUCCUUGAGUACGCACAACGUUGGCGGAAUUCGUCGUGUAGCGGUGAAAUGCUUAGAUAUGACGAAGAACUCCGAUUGCGAAGGCAGCUGACGGGAGCGCAACUGACGCUUAAGCUCGAAGGUGCGGGUAUCAAACAGGAUUAGAUACCCUGGUAGUCCGCACAGUAAACGAUGGAUGCCCGCUGUUGGUACCUGGUAUCAGCGGCUAAGCGAAAGCAUUAAGCAUCCCACCUGGGGAGUACGCCGGCAACGGUG